rnacentral:rRNA from 1 species
GACGAACCGUGCGAACGUUGUUCGGAAUCACUGGGCUUAAAGGGCGCGUAGGCGGGCCAUAAAGUCAGGGGUGAAAUCCUCCAGCUUAACUGGAGAACUGCCUUUGAUACUGAUGGUCUCGAGUAAGGUAGGGGCAUGCGGAACUGAUGGUGGAGCGGUGAAAUGUGUUGAUAUCAUCAGGAACUCCGGUGGCGAAGGCGGCAUGCUGGACCUUCACUGACGCUGAGGAGCGAAAGCCAGGGGAGCAAACGGG